AGUAUUCCUCUACCACUUGCAACUAAUUAGAAGUUGCGAUGUGCAUGUGAAAAGCUUCUGCCAUAAGAAAAUAAGAGAGAUUGCAUGCUUGCCACUUGGCUGUGUCAUGUCAAAGCCUAAAGAACAGUUUACGUUCCCCACUUUCUUGACCUUCAUAGAAAUGGGAGAGAGGCAGGCGCUCGCGCAGCAGCUGGAGCACAAGCACAGGGAUGUGAGGUCUGCGUUUUUGUGGCAAUUGAUGAUGGGCUGUAUGACAUUGGAAUGAAUCAAAGCGGCAAGUUGGUUUCUCAUUGACUUCUUUGCUCAGGAGGUUUCAACUGGCUCCACUUUUAGAUGCCGAGUUGCUCGCGCCGCAUCUGUGAGGAACAAUGAUGUUGAAUAUUUGCAGCAACAGCAGUGGCAGAGGAGCUCCAUGCA
rnacentral:lncRNA from 1 species